rnacentral:tRNA from 1 species
UUAAAUAAAUCUAAUUUUUUAGAAAUUAAUUUCGACUUAAUAGUAAGGCAUUGAUUUGCCUAUUUAAU